rnacentral:rRNA from 1 species
ACGCACGCUGGCGGCGUGCCUCAUACAUGCAAGUUGAGCGCUGAAGGUUGGUACUUGUACCGACUGGAUGAGCAGCGAACGGGUGAGUAACGCGUGGGGAAUCUGCCUUUGAGCGGGGGACAACAUUUGGAAACGAAUGCUAAUACCGCAUAAAAACUUUAAACACAAGUUUUAAGUUUGAAAGAUGCAAUUGCAUCACUCAAAGAUGAUCCCGCGUUGUAUUAGCUAGUUGGUGAGGUAAAGGCUCACCAAGGCGAUGAUACAUAGCCGACCUGAGAGGGUGAUCGGCCACAUUGGGACUGAGACACGGCCCAAACUCCUACGGGAGGCAGCAGUAGGGAAUCUUCGGCAAUGGACGAAAGUCUGACCGAGCAACGCCGCGUGAGUGAAGAAGGUUUUCGGAUCGUAAAACUCUGUUGGUAGAGAAGAACGUUGGUGAGAGUGGAAAGCUCAUCAAGUGACGGUAACUACCCAGAAAGGGACGGCUAACUACGUG